rnacentral:rRNA from 1 species
UACGUAGGGGGCGAGCGUUGUCCGGAGUUACUGGGCGUAAAGGGCAUGCAGGCGGUCCGACACGUUUUGUGUGACAGCGGGUGGCUUAACUACCCGAGGAUGCGAAAGACGGUUGGACUUGAGGACUCGAGAGGGACACGGAAUUCCGGGUGGAGUGGUGAAAUGCGCAGAUAUCAGGAGGAACACCGGUGGCGAAGGCGGGUCUCUGGGCCGAAACUGACGCUGGAGGAGCGAAAGCGUGGGGAGCAAACAGG